ensembl:lncRNA
CAACGCCAGAAUUUCAGCACAGGACCUGAUUGUGCAAAUCCUUACUUGUCAGUCAUUUUGGUCGUUUACCUAAUAUUAUAUUGAUGUUUGUAACAUUUGUUUCUGGAAGAAGAUGGCCGCGCAGGCUAUCCGUAUUUUCCGUAAAAUGGAUGGUCUGUUUGCUGUGUACAAACUGCAUGGAGUUCACUGGAAACAUGUUCGUGACAGCAUAGAGUCCAAUUUAUUAAAAGCGCUGAAUGUCCUCCACCAGCUCCUCAGCUUGCAGUGCAGUUCCAGCUUCUGUCCAGUGGAGAGAACAGCAGCAGCACCAGAGAUCUCGCAUUAUCACCCACUUUGGUCCCCACUCUGGCAGACCAUCCUCUAGUGACAGGGCCGCGGUUUCAUAAGGUUCACGUCGGAGUUGGUCCUCGAUUGGAUGCUUUUUCCUCUGGGGUGUUAGUUUUAGGUGUUGGGAAAGGAAACGGAGUGCU